GAGAAGCCCGCGGUCGAUUAGCUAGUUGGCAGGGUAAUGGCCUACCAAGGCGACGAUCGAUAGCCGGCCUGAGAGGGCACACGGCCACACUGGCACUGAAACACGGGCCAGACUCCUACGGGAGGCAGCAGUGGGGAAUCUUGCACAAUGGGGGAAACCCUGAUGCAGCGACGCCGCGUGAGCGAUGAAGCCCUUCGGGGUGUAAAGCUCUUUCGACGGGGACGAUUAUGACGGUACCCGGAGAAGAAGCUGCGGCUAACUACGUGCCAGCAGCCGCGGUAAUACGUAGGCAGCAAGCGUUGUUCGGAAUUACUGGGCGUAAAGGGUGCGUAGGUGGUUGGUUAAGUUUGGUGUGAAAUCUCCCGGCUCAACUGGGAGGGUGCGCCGAAAACUGGCCGACUAGAGCGUGGGAGAGGGAAGUGGAAUUCCUGGUGUAGCGGUGAAAUGCGUAGAUAUCAGGAGGAACACCUGCGGUGUAGACGGCUUCCUGGACCAUGACUGACACUGAUGCACGAAAGCGUGGGUAGCAAACAGGAUUAGAU
rnacentral:rRNA from 1 species